ACGAGAGAACGAAUGUCUGAUU
rnacentral:miRNA from 1 species